rnacentral:rRNA from 1 species
UUUAUCGGAGAGUUUGAUCCUGGCUCAGGACGAACGCUGGCGGCGUGCCUAAUACAUGCAAGUCGAGCGGACAGAUGGGAGCUUGCUCCCUGAUGUUAGCGGCGGACGGGUGAGUAACACGUGGGUAACCUGCCUGUAAGACUGGGAUAACUCCGGGAAACCGGGGCUAAUACCGGAUGGUUGUUUGAACCGCAUGGUUCAGACAUAAAAGGUGGCUUCGGCUACCACUUACAGAUGGACCCGCGGCGCAUUAGCUAGUUGGUGAGGUAACGGCUCACCAAGGCAACGAUGCGUAGCCGACCUGAGAGGGUGAUCGGCCACACUGGGACUGAGACACGGCCCAGACUCCUACGGGAGGCAGCAGUAGGGAAUCUUCCGCAAUGGACGAAAGUCUGACGGAGCAACGCCGCGUGAGUGAUGAAGGUUUUCGGAUCGUAAAGCUCUGUUGUUAGGGAAGAACAAGUGCCGUUCAAUAGGGCGGCACCUUGACGGUACCUAACCAGAAAGCCACGGCUAACUACGUGCCAGCAGCCGCGGUAAUACGUAGGUGGCAAGCGUUGUCCGGAAUUAUUGGGCGUAAAGGGCUCGCAGGCGGUUUCUUAAGUCUGAUGUGAAAGCCCCCGGCUCAACCGGGGAGGGUCAUUGGAAACUGGGGAACUUGAGUGCAGAAGAGGAGAGUGGAAUUCCA